CAGCCGCCACGGGAACACGGAGGGUGCAAGCGUUACUCGGAAUCACUGGGCGUAAAGGACGCGUAGGCGGAUUAUCAAGUCUCUUGUGAAAUCUAACGGCUUAACCGUUAAACUGCUUGGGAAACUGAUAAUCUAGAGUAAGGGAGAGGCAGAUGGAAUUCUUGGUGUAGGGGUAAAAUCCGUAGAGAUCAAGAAGAAUACCCAUUGCGAAAGCGAUCUGCUGGAACUUAACUGACGCUAAUGCGUGAAAGCGUGGGGAGCAAACAGGAUUAGAUACCCCCGUAGUCCCUGUCUCUUAUAC
rnacentral:rRNA from 1 species